rnacentral:lncRNA from 1 species
AGGUGUUGUGGCAUAUGAAGAAUCUGAAGCCCAGAGAGAAUUAGAUAUGCACCCAAGGUCACACAGCACAGAACCGGGAUUUAUUCUCAGAAAACCAAGCACGAUCCAACCUUUUAGUUUUUUCAUAAUUAGAACAUGUCUCUAAAUAAAUAUGUAUGGGUUUAUUAUCAAGCCCAGUUGUCCAAGGGCUCUUUUCAUCUGGGAAAACAGGGCUGCAGAGAUUUAAGAAGGGAUAUUCCUUCAGAACAAGGCCCCUGGCAAGCUGGGUCGCAGACAUUUCCUAGCUAAUGAAUGGGGGAAUGUGCAGUGCAUGAAGACACUGGAGUUUCCAUUACUGAACAUGCACUCCCAGCCUAACUGAUGCACAAGAUGUGUGGGUUAGCAGCAAUGUUUCAAAGUAGUAGCACCGGUGGUGGUGGCCACUGGAAAAGGAUGCUGUAAGCUGAGUGCUAGCUAGUAUAGGGGUGUUUCUCUCCAGAACAUUAUCUCCCUUGCACAGUGGAGCAGCAUGCAAAGCCUGAUUCAGGAGCCCUUGGGAUUAUUCCACUUGCUUACAGAAACUAUGGCAAAAUAAUUUGCCCUUCCUGAGGCUCAAUUUCCUCUUCUGUCACAUAAGACUAAUAGUAAUGCCUCCAUUUUAACCAAUUAGGCUAGUGUGAGGAUAAAAUGUAGAAACCUUUAGGCAACUCAAAAUACUAGGUGAUGUUUAUCUGCAAUGCUUCUUGCCUAGGUGUACCAAAUGAGUGUGAGGCUAGUUAAAGAAGGGUUCUUGUCAGGCCAUUUUUUUUUAACUGUCACCUAGCCCUUCUACUCAGAAUCCCCAGUCCUAGCUGUACUUACCCAUGCCCCAGGGAAUCUACAGGGACACUAAAGGAUUCUUUGUCUAGCUGCUGCAGGUGUCAAUACUAGGUGUCAACACAAUCUUUUGGAAAUACUCCAUUCAUGGCAUCCCUGCAUCUCUGGCCCUGAUCUCUAGGAGCAAAGUUGUACAAAGGAACUGGAUGCUGCAGUACACAAAAUAGACCUUGGCUCCCCAGAAAGCUCCCCUGAGUCUGUGGAAUAGGCCCUACUCCCCGCUGGGGGCAGGUAAGGAUGUAAGCCCUGAAGCAACAGGGAUCACCAUUUCCAUGGCCACCCACACAGUGGCCUCUUUGGUUGACACAGUAGGUAGCUAUCCUCCUCAAGGACAGCACAUAGAAGGUUCCUCCAGUCACGUUAUCAGCAUUAUAAUGGCAUUCAGUAGAUCCUUAAGAAAAUACUUUGUGAAACUGGUGGUUCACACAUUCAAGCCCACAGGUACUAAUUAUGGAAUUUCUAUUUAAGAAGGAUUAAUGGGAUUGGAAUAUGGGAAAGGAAAUUACCUUGGGUUGAAGGUAGAUGAAGGUGGUGAGCAGCACCAGGGAAAACCAGGAUUUUCCCAAAAAAGAAACCUGUGCAGAGAUGUAAACACACACACACACACACACACACACACACACACACACACACAGGCAAAUAGGGAAAGGGUUAGUCAGGUUUAUCUCUGCAGAGCCAAAGGAAGAAAACUGCAGUUUCUGAGAUACAGUACUCUGCUAACACAUUAUUAAUGUGAAUAUAUACAACAGCUCAGUGAAGUAGACUUCCAUAUACACACCAUUUCUUGACCCUCCCCCCUUCAUGUUUGUGAG